GAUGAACGCUGGCGGCGUGCCUAAUACAUGCAAGUCGAGCGAACAGACGAGGAGCUUGCUCCUCUGACGUUAGCGGCGGACGGGUGAGUAACACGUGGAUAACCUACCUAUAAGACUGGGAUAACUUCGGGAAACCGGAGCUAAUACCGGAUAAUAUAUUGAACCGCAUGGUUCAAUAGUGAAAGACGGUUUUGCUGUCACUUAUAGAUGGAUCCGCGCCGCAUUAGCUAGUUGGUAAGGUAACGGCUUACCAAGGCAACGAUGCGUAGCCGACCUGAGAGGGUGAUCGGCCACACUGGAACUGAGACACGGUCCAGACUCCUACGGGAGGCAGCAGUAGGGAAUCUUCCGCAAAGGGCGAAAGCCUGACGGAGCAACGCCGCGUGAGUGAUGAAGGUCUUCGGAUCUUAAAACUCUGUUAUUAGGGAAGAACAAAUGUGUAAGUAACUAUGCACGUCUUGACGGUACCUAAUCAGAAAGCCACGGCUAACUACGUG
rnacentral:rRNA from 1 species